UUUAAUAACAUUCCAGCAAUUUCCAUGUUUGUGUUAAAAAAAAAAAAAGUCUCCCUAUUCAUUUCACCAAUUACCAAAGUUCUUUAAGCUAAAAUGAAUUUCAAUUCCAAAGAAUAUAACAACUAAACUUUGGUUUUGAAUAAUUGAACUCCAGAAUUUUAACUAACAAAAUAUAGACAUGCUAUGACAAGUGGCGAAAUUUAAUUCCAUGGGGUACACUGCUCUUAUUUAAAUGCAAGAUGCAGUUUUUAUAGAUAGGAAUUCAACAUUUUUAGAAGGGAGAGGUCCUUGAGUAUUAUCCUUAUUUAGUAGUUUGUCCAUGUAGUUCUACAGUUCCAUUAGUAUAUCCCAAACUUUUGAUUUCAUCUACUAUUUACUCCUUCCAUCCAAAUUUUCAACUAUUUGCCAUUGGUCUAUUGUGAAAAGACUAAAUUCUCAUCCACCAUAUCUCCAAGCUAUUACUCUCUCCAUCUUACCCUUUGCUCGAAUUUUCCCUCUCCCUCAAGCCCAUCUCUCACUCAUCUCCUUUUCUCUGGCAAUCCUCCUCUUCCUCUCAAUGCUUUUCCCUUCUUUGUUUCUCAAAACCACUUCUGCUCAACUCACCCACUCACCCACAUCAAUGGAGGCAGAAUAGCCCCAACCUCUCCCUCUCGCAAACCCAUCCCACCCCUCCCUAUGUCAAACCAACCCCACCCCUCCCUCUGUGAAACCCACCCCA
rnacentral:misc_RNA from 1 species